CCAGACUCCUACGGGAGGCAGCAGUGAGGAAUAUUGGUCAAUGGGCGCGAGCCUGAACCAGCCAAGUCGCGUGAGGGAAGACGGUCCUAUGGAUUGUAAACCUCUUUUGUCGGGGAGCAAAAGACGCCACGCGUGGCGUUCCGAGAGUACCCGAAGAAAAAGCAUCGGCUAACUCCGUGCCAGCAGCCGCGGUAAUACGUAGGGGGCAAGCGUUAUCCGGAUUUACUGGGUGUAAAGGGAGCGUAGGUGGCGUGCCAAGUCAGGAGUGAAAACCCAGGGCCCAACCUUGGGACUGCUCUUGAAACUGGCAGGCUUGAGUGCUGGAGAGGUAAGCGGAAUUCCUAGUGUAGCGGUGAAAUGCGUAGAUAUUAGGAGGAACACCAGUGGCGAAGGCGGCUUACUGGACAGUGACUGACACUGAGGCUCGAAAGCGUGGGGAGCAAACAGGAUUAGAUACCCGCGUAA
rnacentral:rRNA from 1 species